GUCAGGGUUCUCUAGUUGAAAAGCAACCCACCGCGUAAUGGCAUGGGUUCUGCGUUUCAAAGCUAGCUGACUCGCCUAAGUCCUUAACUGGACUACGUUCAAGCUUGUGUGUUAAAGUCUCACCUACGAAUGCUUGCCAGUUUGUAGCUCUGAAACCUCACAUAUUAAACAGCCUUACAAAGAAUAAAGCAGUAUAUGUGGGAAAGUACCGCUCUUGAACUUUGGCGCUUGCUCAGUUUAC
rfam:Scytonema millei VB511283 scaffold_50, whole genome shotgun sequence.